UGGGGAAUUUUGGACAAUGGGGGAAACCCUGAUCCAGCCAUCCCGCAUGUGCGAUGAAGGCCUUCGGGUUGUAAAGCACUUUUGGCAGGAAAGAAACGUCAUGGGUUAAUACCCCGUGAAACUGACGGUACCUGCAGAAUAAGCACCGGCUAACUACGUGCCAGCAGCCGCGGUAAUACGUAGGGUGCAAGCGUUAAUCGGAAUUACUGGGCGUAAAGCGUGCGCAGGCGGUUCGGAAAGAAAGAUGUGAAAUCCCAGAGCUCAACUUUGGAACUGCAUUUUUAACUGCCGGGCUAGAGUGUGUCAGAGGGAGGUGGAAUUCCGCGUGUAGCAGUGAAAUGCGUAGAUAUGCGGAGGAACACCGAUGGCGAAGGCAGCCUCCUGGGAUAACACUGACGCUCAUGCACGAAAGCGUGGGGAGCAAACAGG
rnacentral:rRNA from 1 species